rnacentral:rRNA from 1 species
UACAGAGGUCUCAAGCGUUGUUCGGAUUCAUUGGGCGUAAAGGGUGCGUAGGCGGCGCGGUAAGUCGGGUGUGAAAUCUCGGGGCUUAACUCCGAAACUGCAUUCGAUACUGCCGUGAUUGAGGACUGGAGAGGAGACUGGAAUUUACGGUGUAGCGGUGAAAUGCGCAGAUAUCAGGAAGAACACCCGUGGCGAAGGCGGCUCUCUGGGACGGUACUGACGCUGAGGUGCGAAAGCGUGGGGAGCAAACAGG